AGCAGCCGCGGUAAUUCCAGCUCCAAUAGCGUAUAUUAAAGUUGUUGCAGUUAAAAAGCUCGUAGUUGAAUUUCGGGAUCAAUUCGUCGGUCGUGCUUUCGGGUACGUACUGGUGUUUAUUGGUUUCUCCCUUCUGACGAACCAUGAUGUCAUUAAUUUGGUGUUAUGGGGAGUUAGGACUGUUACUUUGAAAAAAUUGAGUGUUUAAAGCAGGCAUUAGCUUGAAUACAUUAGCAUGGAAUAAUGAAAUAGGACGUUCGAUCCUAUUUUGUUGGCUUCUAGGAUCAACGUAAUGAUUAAUAGGGAUAGUUGGGGGCAUUAGUAUUCAAUUGUCAGAGGUGAAAUUCUUGGAUUUAUUGAAGACUAACUACUGCGAAAGCAUUUGCCAAGGAUGUUUCAUUAAUCAAGAACGAAAGUUAGGGAUCGAAGACGAUCAGA
rnacentral:rRNA from 1 species